rnacentral:rRNA from 1 species
AAUCAACGCUGGCGGCGUGCCUCAGACAUGCAAGUCGAACGCGAAAGUCCCCUUCGGGGGAUGAUUAGAGUGGCGCACGGGUGAGUAACACGUAGGUAAUCUACCUUCGAGUGGGGAAUAACUCAGGGAAACUUGAGCUAAUACCGCAUAAUGCAGCGGCACCACAUGGUGACAGUUGUUAAAGCAUUUAUGCGCUUGAAGAGGAGCCUGCGGCGGAUUAGCUAGUUGGUAAGGUAAUGGCUUACCAAGGCUACGAUCUGUAACCGGCCUGAGAGGGCGGACGGUCACACUGACACUGAAUAACGGGUCAGACUCCUACGGGAGGCAGCAGUCGGGAAUUUUGGGCAAUGGGCGAAAGCCUGACCCAGCAACGCCGCGUGAA